rnacentral:rRNA from 1 species
CGCUUGAACUUAAGCAUAUCAAUAAGCGGAGGAAAAGAAACUAACAAGGAUUCCCCCAGUAACGGCGAGUGAAGAGGGAACAGCCCAAAUUUGUAAUCUGGCCCUCUCAGGGUCCGAGUUGUAAUCUCGAGAACUGUUUUCCGUGCUGGACCGCGUACAAGUCUGUUGGAAUAUAGCUUCAUAGAGGGUGAGAAUCCCGUACAUGAUGCGGAUUACCAGUACAUUGUGAUACAGUCUCCAAGAGUCGAGUUGUUUGGGAAUGCAGCUCAAAAUGGGUGGUAAAUUCCAUCUAAGGCUAAAUAUUGGCGAGAGACCGAUAGCGAACAAGUACCGUGAGGGAAAGAUGAAAAGCACUUUGGAAAGAGAGUUAACAGUACGUGAAAUUGUUGAAAGGGAAACGCUUGAAGUCAGUCUUGCACUUGAUUGUUCAACCUUUGGGUGUAUUCAAUCAUGAGCAGGCCAGCAUCAGUUUCAGGUGUCGGAGAAGGGUGAAAGGAACGUAGCAGUCUCGGCUGUGUUAUAGCCUUGCACUUGAUACGACGUCAGGGACUGAGGAUCGCGGUGAGCCUUUUGGCGAGUCUUCGGACUUCCUCACCAUGGAUGCUGGCGUAAUGGCUUUAAACGACCCGUCUUGAAACACGGACCAAGGAGUCUAACAUGCUUGCGAGUGUUUGGGUGGCAAACCCGGGCGCGUAAUGAAAGUGAAUGUAGGUGGGAAUCGCAAGAUGCACCAUCGACCGGUCCGGAUUUUUAAUGAUGGAUCUGAGUAAGAGCAAGUAUGUUGGGACCCGAAAGAUGGUGAACUAUGCCUGAAUAGGGCGAAGCCAGAGGAAACUCUGGUGGAGGCUCGUAGCGGUUCUGACGUGCAAAUCGAUCGUCGAAUUUGGGU